UAGUAUGAGGCUGUCGGUCCGGUCCGGUGUGGCUGUUGCGAGGAUGAACAGCUCCUCUUGAUCAUUACCAAAAAAAAAGCUACCUUUAAAAGACGCAGUGUGUCGUCAUGUUUUUGUGUAGAUCAGAAGGUUGUGAUAGUUUGCUGGCGGACAGACUGCAUUAACGGUCGUGUGUUAACCGCGUUCAAGAAUUUCAGCCUGAACUUGAAAAAUAAAAACGGUCGUCGUGGUUUUACCCAACGACUCCCGUCAAGUUUCAUUUGUUUGUUUUGCCGUUGCUCGUUUCUAACGACAACUAAAGGAGCACGAAUGAUCGAGACGACGCUAAGAAGCGGAUGAAACGCGGACGUAAAUAAUUGGUGCUUGAAAUGGCGAAAAUCUAUAUCGGACUCAACCCAGAGAUGUAAUGUACGUCCACCUUUUAUCUGGUUCAGGGGCUUUGGACUACACUGACAAACAUGCGUGUUGCAGGACUACGCAGAGGCUGACCUCAGAUUUCACCUCUGUAAUUGAGGAGUCCUGUAGACACGUGCCCACGGGGGCCCAGGAGAGACCACCACCGCUGCAAGCUCACUGCUACCUCUGCGCCGGAGGAAUGGGGUGUCUGAAAAUAUGAUGUUGGCCGAUCAGAUCUUGCUAUGGUUUUCUGAUCAUUUCCCAGCUGUUGUGUUUUCUGUCAUGUUGUGCAAAUGCUGCUUAAUUGGCUUAAAUAUCUUCUACACAUAUACUAUGCCUUCACAAAUCCAUUUGGUCAUGUGUAUGUGGGCAUAUUUUUUAUUGAAUAUUAAUUAUUCUCUCUGUAUAUGUAAACUCGAGACCUUUUGCGAAAGAUUUAGACGCUGAUGGACAUUUCAGAUCUUAAACAUGUUGCUUUUUCUGUGGAAGUACAACUCUCAUUUGAUGAACUAGGCCACCAACUAGGAUGGAAAUGCUUUUUAAUCUGCGCCAGGCAUUUCUUGUUGUGUUUUUUAAUAAAUGUUUUGCUUCAUGGGAGUGUUAUGUUGUCUAUAUUGAGACA